rnacentral:rRNA from 1 species
GACGAACGCUGGCGGCGUGCUUAACACAUGCCAGUCGAACGGAAAGGCCCUUCGGGGUCCUCGAGUGGCGAACGGGUGAGUAACACGUGGGUGAUCUGCCCUGCACUUUGGGAUAAGCCUGGGAAACUGGGUCUAAUACCGGAUAGGACCACGGCAUUCAUGUGCUGUGGUGGAAAGCUUUUGCGGUGUGGGAUGGGCCCGCGGCCUAUCAGCUUGUUGGUGGGGUAAUGGCCUACCAAGGCGACGACGGGUAGCCGGCCUGAGAGGGUGACCGGCCACACUGGGACUGAGAUACGGCCCAGACUCCUACGGGAGGCAGCAGUGGGGAAUAUUGCACAAUGGGCGCAAGCCUGAUGCAGCGACGCCGCGUGAGGGAUGACGGCCUUCGGGUUGUAAACCUCUUUCGCCAGGGACGAAGCGCAAGUGACGGUACCUGGAGAAGAAGGACCGGCCAACUACGUG